ensembl:lncRNA
GUGAAGCAGCUCUAUCAGGGGGUGCUGGGGAAGCUGAGAGAGCUCCACCCUGGCUGGGGGAUGUUUGGAGGGAAAACCGAAAGUCUGGAGAGGCAGGUGGAGCAGGAGAUGGUGCGACGGAGUGCACUGGGCAUUCAGCUGACACAGCUACUGGACAGCCAGCUGCAGAUCCUGCGGGUGGAGAUGAGAGCAGACCACAGCGGGCCAUGCAGAAGACCUUCAGAGACUGCUGGCUGAGGGUCAGACCUCGCUCUGGGAUAAACACAUCAAGCAACAUGAGCGAGUAGCUGAUGAGAUGACUGAGAUGGUAUCAGUGGAGAGCCAGAGGCUGGGGGCCUGGGUUGUGCUUAAAGAGGGCACUGGAGCACAACUAUUAUGCCCUGCUACUGGAUCAGUCCUCAGUAGGGAAGACGUCAUCGGUGAGGUGGGAAAAUGGGAAUCACCCCUGCUGUCUUUCAGUUCGUACCCUCCAUCCCGCCACGCUGAAAUCCAUGCUGCUUCCAAACUACGGGGGCUUCGUUCAGUCCAAUGGUUGGUGUUCCAUCUCGUGCUUGCGGCAGCCUAUUCAGAUUGGCUCUCCCAUGCUAGACCCUCGUACAGGUGACCUGGUGCUCAUCACCAGCGUCAGUCUUGAUCCCCAUACAGGAGCUGUACUACCAGUUGGGGGGCUUCUCUUGGGUGAGUCCUUCAAUAAGCCCUUGAGCGGCCGGAUGGCACGGGUUGGUGGAUGUAGUGUGCGAGGAGGAAAGGUGGUGCCUCAUGCUGGGGGUUUCCAGGCUCUGCUGGGCGCUUGCUUGCGGGUGGCGGAGCUCUUGCAAGGAUUCAGUGAGGAGUGGAGCUCAGCAGCUGCAGAUCCACAAGGGGAAAUCAAGCUUCCUGGCACUGAACUAUCCUUGCCAGCUCUCCCUGGGUUGGAGUAUCCUGACCCUGGAGGCUCGGGUUUGCAUGUCCCAGUUCUGGGAGCUCAGUUGGACUGGGUGUCAGGAUACAAGGUGCCUCUGGCAGCAACCAUGGAGGAUGCAGAUAGUAAAGGAGACGAGGAGGAGUGGGAGCAGCAGUGUUACUGGCACACCAAGCUUAAGGCCGUGCUGAAUGUAGUGAGUGUGUCCAUGGAGAGACUGGGGAUCGGCUGUCGGCACAGGAAACACAGCAUCUGGAUGGAGAACUGAGGGAGCAGGAACUGUGGGAGCAAUUAAUGCAGAAACAAGCAGAGCUCGAUGCUGUGAUUUCGUCUCUCCUCUGUUCUCGUCAGGUCUGCCAGCUGCGUGCUGACACCACACAGUCUUUGGUUUCUGGCACAUUCUGGAAUAAGGAUUUUGGUGUGCUGCAGCCCAAGGGUGUCAGAAACCCUCUGAAAUUAAUAUCCAUGAAUCAGCAGAAAAUCCCUCCUUGGCUUGAACGACUUUUUCAGCUGUUGGAGGAAACCAAAACACUUGGCCAGUCGACCAGCACACAGCGGCAGCAGAGCUCUGGUAAGCAGGUGUUCGGCCGAGACAGCACUUCCAGAAUGUGGACCGAAUCUGCGUCUGUUGUAAAAGGUAUCUCAACUCAGUCCUUUAAAGAUCAAAUGAAGGCUCCGUCUGCGAGUGAACAGAAUGCCAUGGUGCCCUCUCUUCCUCUGUCAAACACAUCUUACACUCAGAAAAGCCAGGAAAAAAACACAGCUGAACCACAGCCGGGGUGA